UACAGAGGGUGCGAGCGUUAAUCGGAAUGACUGGGCGUAAAGGGUGCGUAGGUGGUUUAUUAAGUUGAUUGUGAAAUUCCUGGGCUUAACCUGGGCACGGCGAUCAAGACUGGUAGACUAGAGUAGAGUAGAGGGAAGUGGAAUUUCCGGUGUAGCGGUGAAAUGCGUAGAUAUCGGAAGGAACACCAGUGGCGAAGGCGGCUUUCUGGACUCAUACUGACACUGAGGCACGAAAGCGUGGGGAUCAAACAGG
rnacentral:rRNA from 1 species